UGAGCCGGCGGAGGUGUUAAUAAACAUUCCUCCCCGCUUUUUUUGUUCCUUUUCCUGAGGAAAGAAAGAGAGACGAAAAGAGAGAAGCCCGCCCGCUUGGGCACGUUGGUUCUGUAUAUACCCUGGGGCACGACACCCCCCAAAAGGUUACUCUAUAAGCGAGAAGAAAAGACUGCAAGGGAGAAAGAGAAGGGUCUGCACACGGCCAGGGGAACCGUCUGAGGUACCCACCAUCAACCACUGGUUCCAUUAGAGCGAGAGGGUCUGGAACAAUGCAAAUCACCAUCCCCAGAAGGCCAUACGCUGUCAGAAGAUCAAGGCAGAUGCAUGGCGGAGGGAGACCCCGCAAUACCAUCCUGGGCAGAAAGUAUGGCUCUCCAGCCCAAUACUCACCACCCUCUGAUUCCUCAACAAAGCCUGGUCAGUCGGAAGAACCCCCUCAUCCUCUGGAUAUGGAAGGUCGUAG